UGGGGAAUAUUGGACAAUGGGCGAAAGCCUGAUCCAGCCAUGCCGCGUGAGUGAUGAAGGCCCUAGGGUUGUAAAGCUCUUUCACCGGUGAAGAUAGUGACGGUAACCGGAGAAGAAGCCCCGGCUAACUUCGUGCCAGCAGCCGCGGUAAUACGAAGGGGGCUAGCGUUGUUCGGAAUUACUGGGCGUAAAGCGCACGUAGGCGGAUUGUUAAGUCGGGGGUGAAAUCCCGGGGCUCAACCCCGGAACUGCCUUCGAUACUGGCAAGCUAGAGUCCGGAAGAGGUGCGUGGAAUUCCGAGUGUAGAGGUGAAAUUCGUAGAUAUUCGGAGGAACACCAGUGGCGAAGGCGGCUCACUGGUCCGGUACUGACGCUGAGGUGCGAAAGCGUGGGGAGCAAACA
rnacentral:rRNA from 1 species